rnacentral:rRNA from 1 species
AUUUCCCUAAACCCUCCCCCGCUGCGCUACGCACUGCGGGUCCGUCGCACGGGAGCCGGAUUACCGAAGCCCGCGUUGAACGCAAGUUUCUGAGCUACCAAGUGCCCUAAGACGUUAAGUGUGGUUCAUAGCGUAAAGCGAUGCAAGAAGUAGCUACGCUCUCG